AUAACAACUUAAACCGUAACUCGA
rnacentral:siRNA from 1 species